rnacentral:rRNA from 1 species
UACGAAGGGGGCUAGCGUUGCUCGGAAUCACUGGGCGUAAAGGGUGCGUAGGCGGGUUUUUAAGUCAGGGGUGAAAUCCUGGAGCUCAACUCCAGAACUGCCUUUGAUACUGAAGAUCUUGAGUUCGGGAGAGGUGAGUGGAACUGCGAGUGUAGAGGUGAAAUUCGUAGAUAUUCGGAGGAACACCAGAAGCGAAGGCGGCCAACUGGCCCGAUACUGACGCUGAGGCGCGAAAGCGUGGGGAGCAAACAGG